rnacentral:lncRNA from 1 species
UAUUUAUAAAUUAAAAUAGAAUUACAAUUAAAAUUCAGUUUACAAAACUAAACCAGAAUUAACAAAAAAUUAAACCAUCACAUCUACCCAAAUCGGUUUACACUAAACCAAAUCUUAAAAAAAAAUUAAACCUAAAAAAAAGACAGCCUCCACAAGCCUUCCUCUUCCAGCCGCAAUGAGAUUUGUCACUGUCAUGAACUGUCGUAAACCACCGCAUCCUUCCUCCUCCGGCUCUACCUUCUCACUAUCUUCCUAUGUAUUCUCUCGAUCUCCUUCUCCAUCGAUGACUUUUGGUGACAGAGCGAGCUUGAGACCGUUGAUGACGGAGCGAGCUCGAGACAAGUGACGACGGAGCGAGUUCGAGAUGGUGACGACGGAGCGAGCUCGAGAUGAUGACGACGGGCGAGACGGUGCGAUCUUGAGACCGGUGACCAUGACGACGGCGACAUGUUCAGACUUAUCAAAAGAGACACAAAGAAAGUGGUGGUGAUGAGCGUGACGGCUCCUGGUAGAGAAAAGGAGAAGGAUGUGGAGUAGUGACCUUUGAACGAUGGAGGUUUGGUGGUGACAGAUGAGACACCUUUCAAAAAAUUGGAGAUAUCAGAGAGAGAGAGAGAGAGAGAGAGAGAGAGGAAGGAGCAGGAUGAAACACAGAGUAGAUAUAUUUGUGAAUCUGGUAGAGAGAGAGAGAGAGAGAGGCAAGAGGAAUCUGGACCCUUCAAAAUAUUUAAUCAAUGGUCAAUAUUAGCUAUCCUCACC